rnacentral:tRNA from 2 species
GCUCGGGUGGUGAAAUUGGUAGACACGCAUGGUUGAGGGCCAUGUGGCCUUUAGGCUGUGCUGGUUCAAGUCCAGUCCCGAGCACCA